rnacentral:rRNA from 1 species
UCAACGCUGGCGGCGUGCCUAACACAUGCAAGUCGAGCGAGAAAAGGGGAGCAAUCCUCUGAGUAAAGCGGCGCACGGGUGAGUAACACGUGGGUAAUCUGCCCUGGAGUGGGGAAUAACACCGGGAAACCGGUGCUAAUACCGCAUACGAUCACGAUGUCUGCGGACGUUGUGAUGAAAGGAGCAAUUCGCUCCAGGAGGAGCCCGCGGCUGAUUAGCUAGUUGGUGAGGUAAUGGCUCACCAAGGCUACGAUCAGUAUCCGGUCUGAGAGGACGGUCGGACACACUGGAACUGAGACACGGUCCAGACUCCUACGGGAGGCAGCAGUGGGGAAUUUUUGGCAAUGGGGGCAACCCUGACCAAGCAACGCCGCGUGGAUGAUGAAGUCUCUUGGGACGUAAAAUCCUUUCGACGGGGACGAAAACCGCAAGGUUUGACGGUACCCGUAGAAGAAGCCCCGGCUAACUCCGU